rnacentral:rRNA from 1 species
UACGUAGGGCGCAAGCGUUGUCCGGAAUUAUUGGGCGUAAAGAGCUCGUAGGCGGUUUGUCGCGUCUGUCGUGAAAGCUUGGGGCUUAACCCCAAGUCUGCGGUGGAUACGGGCAGACUAGAGGCAGGUAGGGGAGAACGGAAUUCCCGGUGUAGCGGUGAAAUGCGCAGAUAUCGGGAGGAACACCGGUGGCGAAGGCGGUUCUCUGGGCCUGUACUGACGCCGAGGAGCGAAAGCGUGGGGAGCGAACAGG